UACGUAGGGUGCAAGCGUUAAUCGGAAUUACUGGGCGUAAAGGGCGCGUAGGCGGUGUGUCAAGUCAGGCGUGAAAGCCCCGGGCUCAACCUGGGAACCGCGCUUGAGACUGGCAUGCUCGAGUUCGGGAGAGGAUGGUGGAAUUCCCAGUGUAGAGGUGAAAUUCGUAGAUAUUGGGAAGAACACCGAUGGCGAAGGCAGCCAUCUGGACCGACACUGACGCUGAGGCGCGAAAGCGUGGGGAGCAAACAGG
rnacentral:rRNA from 1 species